AGACUUGGCAGGGGAGAUAGCAUGAUCACAAAGGUGGUUUUUCCAGGGCCAGAUUUAUUCACUGCGCUCUGGAUGUGCUGACCCCUACGACUUCCACCCAAGGGGGAAGCUUGACUGCUUAGUUUGUUAUAGCAGGGGACUGUGUUCACACUUUCUCUGG
rnacentral:snRNA from 1 species